rnacentral:rRNA from 1 species
CAAGCGGUCGGAGCAGCUAUAAGCUGUGACGGCGUGCCUUUUGCAUAAUGAGCUUACGAGUUAAUCGUACUAGCGAGGUUAAGGACUUAAGGUCCGGAGCCGUAGCGAAAGCGAGUCUGAAUAGGGCGGAUAGUUAGUGGGAUUAGACGCGAAACCUUGUGAUCUACCCAUGGGCAGGUUGAAGCUUUGGUAACACAAAGUGGAGGACCGAACCGGUUGACGUUGAAAAGUCUUCGGAUGACCUGUGGGUAGGGGUGAAAGGCCAAUCAAACCGGGAGAUAGCUCGUACUCCCCGAAAUGCAUUUAGGUGCAGCGUCGAUAUAGUUUAUUAGAGGUAGAGCUACUGAUUGGAUGCGGGGGUUUCAUCGCCUACCAAUUCCUGACAAACUCCGAAUGCUAAUAAAUGAUUGUCGGCAGUGAGGGCAUGGGUGCUAAGGUCCAUGUCCGAGAGGGAAAGAACCCAGACCAACAGCUAAGGUCCCUAAAUAUAUGCUAAGUUGAAAGAACGAGGUUUGUCUGCCCAGACAGCUAGGAUGUUGGCUUGGAAGCAGCCAUUCAUUUAAAGAGUGCGUAACAGCUCACUAGUCGAGCGGACGAGCAUGGAUAAUAAUCGGGCAUAAGCAUAUUACCGAAGCUAUGGCUUUUGUCGCAAUAC